GACGAACGCUGGCGGCGUGCUUAACACAUGCAAGUCGAACGGAAAGGCCCUGCUUUUGUGGGGUGCUCGAGUGGCGAACGGGUGAGUAACACGUGAGUAACCUGCCCUAGCCUUUGGGAUAACUUCAGGAAACUGGGGCUAAUACCGGAUAGGAGCUCCUGCUGCAUGGUGGGGGUUGGAAAGUUUCGGCGGUUGGGGAUGGACUCGCGGCCUAUCAGAUUGUUGGUGGGGUAGUGGCUUAGCAAGGCGUUGACGGGUAGCCGGCCUGAGAGGGUGACCGGCCCCAGUGGGCCUGAGGUGCGGCCCGGACUCCUACGUGGGGCAGCAGUGGGAGAUAGUGCACGAUGGGCGGAAGCCUGAUGCAGCAAUGCCGCGUGCUGGAUGUCGGCCUUCGGGUUGUAAACCGCUUGCGCCUGUGACGAAGCGUGAGUGACGGUAUUGGGUAAGGAAGCACCGGCUAACUACGUG
rnacentral:rRNA from 1 species